CUGGAAAACAACGUAAGUAAUCCAAGACGAAGAACAGCCCAACUGUAUGUCUGUCAUGGAUUAUACUUGGUAUACUAACAAAGAGGAAAUUACGCCCCUCCCAUUUUCCACCAUUGGUCAAAGCCUCCGGUGUUUGUUAACCUUCCUGCGGUUACUUUACGUCAAUAGCGGAGUCAGUGACGUCUAAAACAUUGCUAUAUUCUCUCACAGUAUCGGACCUAGGCGUUCCACCAUGUUACUUGAGCGAUACUGCGUUUGCCGCGGGCAUUCAACCCUUAGAGCAAAGUACUGUGACACCGCAAAAUACUCAGUACCUGGUGUACGCCCAUAAACCGGGCGGAUUCGAUUUCAAAAGUUCCGGAGCCGUGAACGCCGAGAACACGUGCGGCGACUCCGUGUCCACCGUCAGAGAGACGCUGAUUGUGAACAUCAUCAAUACGGCACCGGUGAUUACUAAUCCUGGGGGCUCUAGCGACGUCGCCGAGGACGUCAGCGGAACGUUGACGUUCAAGACGUUGGAUUUUGUUACUUUCGAUAAAUCUGAUGCCACCUGCUCAUUGACGAGCGCUGACGGAGGACCAUUCGCCGUCACUGGCAACCAAAUCGUAAAGACGGCUAGAGCUCUGGACUUUGAGACAAAGGCAACGUAUAAUCUUGACGUCACGUGCACUGACGACCUUCUUCAAACCACGGAUACUUACGUCGUCAAAGUCCAAAACGUCGGUCCAAAGAUAACGAGUUUGCCGACGGCGUCUACUCUGGACGAGUGGCAGACUGCGGAAAAGCUACUCACGACGUUGACGUAAGCGGAGGACGCGGCUGACUGCGUUUAAACGUCACCGACGUAUAACGAGUUUAACGUCAAAUACGAGCUCGCCACAAAAGUUUUAAAACAUAUGGGUGAUCUACUACGUCAGCGAGGCGGUUGCGGGGCGGUCGCUUAGCUACGACACGAACCCCUUUUACAACCUGCACAUUGAGUACAGCGACGCCGCGGGGGUCAAAGGGGCGGAGAAGAUUUUCACCGUCCAUAUUAACGAUAACAAAGCACCGACGAGCGACAACCUUAGCAGUAAGCCGAACAACAUAUGCUUGAUUAAGGACGCCUUGCGAGAAUUCUUCAGCGUUAUUUAGAUACUUUAAAAAUAAAUUCUAGUAUUACUUAUAUAGUAUUGUAUCAACUUUGAUCCAUCUUUGUAUUGCGCAUUAUGUCUUUUUGUUUGCCAAACGACGUUACUUUACUGUAUUACGUUGACGUCACUUCUUGUGUUUAUGCUUCGAAUCAUACUACUGAUGACAGCUAUGGCCGAAACAUGAUUUAUGUUUAAGAUAUCAAAAAAAAAAACGUGUUUGUUAAAAUUAAAACGUG